GGAAAACGACUUACCUAUGGACUAUAUGGUUAUAUCAAACCUCAAGAUUACGAGGGAGGUCUUGCUUAAUGGUACAAAGGCGGUUCUCAGUAAACGUGAAGGUUAUAGGAACGGCCUCUCGAAUUCCUUCGUUGUAAAGUUCGGUUGAUAGAGGACGAGGAUCAUAGUUUGAGCAACGUUGACCUAGAAUAUCUGGUGGAAAAGCGACGAAAGCGGACAGGUACCCGCAGAGAGGCAAAGCGAUAACAAAGCUCUCGCGGGGAGGCUGAAUUGUCGUGGAAUCCUUUGAAAUACGAGAUUGCACCGUCUCGGUGUGUUUCUUCGUUCGCUGGCUGCAAGAUUUCCGUUAGCCUGGGCGAAUCUUUUUCAACGGCAUGGCUACUCGAGCCUUUCGAAUUAUCGAUCCUCAUUGUUGGAGCCGCGGAUGCGACCAAGAGUAUUAUGCGCCAGAAAGAAGCCUCGUUGUUGCUUGCUGUUCCUCUUUCCUACGCGGUCCUUUCUCCAACAAGCCAUAGGCUUGUGUGAAGGUAGCAUUCGAUUUUUAGCUUUAUUUCUCAAUAAGAGGAAAAUAAUGUUACGGAAUGGUGAAAUUUGCUGUAUCUAAAAAAAUCUCUUCUACUGGAAUAUUGAUAGCUAGUCGUCAUUCCCUAUGCGAACUGGAAUGUUCAAAAUAAAAAAUUCUUUUUGAUUCAUAAACUAGGAAAACGUAUGUAGUAUGAGAGUUUCCCGAAAUUUUCAUGGUUUGUAAAAAUGGAAGUAGUCUGAAGGAAGAAGAAAUUUUUUAACAAAAAGAAAUCAGUUUUAGAAACGUUUGAAAAAUCAAAUAAUUUAGAUGUCAAAAGAUAUUUCUGAUUUUGUUUUUUGUUUUGUCAAUAAGAAGAAGAAAUUGUUUUUUCAAUAAGAAGAAGAAAUAAUACACGUUGAGUGUUUCAAUAAAAUUAGAGUUACCUAAAAAUAAAUUAGGAAAGACAAUUUGGACAAAGAAUCUUAAUUUCUUUAAAACUAUCUAUUGUACAGAGUUCAUUGCCUGAAGAAAGUGCUUUAUAAAAAAGUUUUAAUGAAGAGAAUAAAUUUUCCAUUUAAAAUAAUAUUUCCUUACAAAUACAAAAAGUAUUAACUUUCUAAAAAGUGUUCAGACUGCGUAGGUAUGUACAAUGUACAUAUUUAUCGCGCGCCACGAGAUUUAAAAAAGGUUCCAAAAGAGAUGAAAGGUUGAUGGUGAAGCCUAGGUGAGUACAGAAAGGGGGAGGGGGGGAAGAGGAAAUAUUGAAGGGAAGAGGAAAGAAGAUUUGUCGCGUACGUACGAAAUAAAAAGCACUCGAGCGACGAAACUAUAACGGAAUGGAAGAUGAAACCUUCUAGUGAUUCCUCGGGAAGGAAAGUGGAGGGAAGGAAUGGGACAUUGAGGGGCAAGUUCAAAGAAGAUUACAGGGGGAAACAUCGAACAGCGAGACAUGGAUCCGUUGAGAAGCUUUCUACGAAUUUACUUGCUCGAAUUACUGAAAGAGUACCAUAAUAUCGCCAUUUUAUAUACGUAACGUUUUAUUUCAUGCUCAUAAUUCACAAAUAAAUUUCGUGAUCUGUCAUAACAUUUAUUUAACCCUCUAUAAGUUUAAUGUGUCACCUAAAAAUUAUAUGUUCAUGUAUCCAUAUACCGUGAGUAUAAAAAAAAUUUCCAGUUAAAGAGUAGCUUUUUUUCAGUUUAAAUUAUAUAUUAAUAGUAUUCAGCUUGCAACAAUAUUUGCGAUAUUGUAUUUCAUAUAAUCAAUUAUAUUAUAUUUUUGUAAUGGACUUUUAUUUUUCAGAUUAAUGGUGUUCUUUUUAUAUCCUAAGAAAGCCAAGUUUCAGUUAUAAGUAGUAUAGGUCAGCUAUAUUGAAUUACUGGGGUGAACGAAGUCAAAUGUUUUAUGAUAUUGUAGUAUACAGAAGAACGUAGAUACAAAUUAUUUUAUAUUAUCAGACAUUAUAUUAUUCACUGUGUUUUAUGAGUUUCUAUCAUUUGCAGGUUUGAAGUUCUAUUUUCUAAUGGAUAAUAACAAUUGCGAAUAGAAAAAAAAGAAUUGUAUAAAUAAAGUUUUGUAAAUGUUUCAGAUUUUGGAGAAUAAAAAUUAAAUUACCAAGCACUGUAUAAUUCUCUAAUUUAGGAAUUCUUACAAGUUUGAAAUUCUAAAAUUUUCGAACUAAAAAUUAAUAUAAAAUAAAGGAGUAGAAGAGAAGAACUAAAAAGGACUACGAAUAAAAUUAUAUAUUUUAUUUUUUGAGAAACAUAAAUUUUAAAUUACUAACCAUUAUUAUUCUAUAUAUUAUAAAUGUUCACAAUGUUCCACCCUCCUCGUUCCAUUAUCUUAUAAAAUAAAACUCUGAAAUAAGAAUUUCGAAGAAAAAUAUUCUUCGAAAUAAAGUUUCGUACUUUAGCUUUUAAAGAGUAUACGUUACACGAAGAGCCGUCGAUUAUGCGAAACUUUACUUAGAAGGUGUUCGAAUCGAUCAAUCCUCCUUGCACACGUAACCAUGAAAUUUUAAUGGAACUUUCGUCCACUUCACUAAAGUAUUGGAACUAAAAAAAAAAAAAAAAAGGAAAGAAAAAAAGGAAGAGGGAAAAAUGUUGAAGUUCAAGCGAGAAAUUCUUCAACGAGAAAAUCAUCAUAUCGUAUAAAAGCGAUGGAAUGACAAAUAUUGAAUCAUUGAACAGAUUUGAAAAUUUCCCGAAUUUUCAUUAUUCAUUAUCGAAUUGUUAUUCUGAAUAUUUAAUCCAGCGAGGGAGAGAGAACAAAGUCAUUUAAUUAUUAUUCCGAACGAAAAGUCGCUGGGAAUGAAGGGGAACUGUUAUAAAUUCCGUAGAACGUAACGAACCGUAUUAUCACCUUACCAUCAAGUAUCAUGUCGCAAGCUCGGUGGUCGUGUGGAGUUUAUGCAAUAAAUUCAACUUCACCAUCCAAACAACUCAUAAAAUAUUCAACGCUGACCUACAAUCUGUUCAUCAUUUGAAUAUCGUGUCACGGACAUAACAACAUCCACUUCUGCACGGAUUUCGUUAUGAUAAUUCACGAUCCUUGAUACAGAUAACAGAUUUACCGGGCUGAUCAUUCAUACCGGUUAUUAGAUUCGACGUAUUCUGAAUUGUUCUCACACGAUGACGAAAUAUUUCAUCCGUAUCGGAGUAAUUAAUCAGUUGCUUUGAACUGGAUCCACAAAUAUACCAGAGACCUUAACAUUUUGGAAGAAGAUAUAUAUGAAUCUAUUAAGAAUCAAACUGAUCAAUUUUACUUUCUGUUAACAACUGAAUUUUGUUGACAAUUUCAUUAUUCAGAUACGUUAUUAGAAUUUAAUUUCUUAGGAAAGAAAAUAUUUAAUUUUAAAUAUUAAAUUUUUUAAUGUUUUAGAAGUAAAAGUGAUUAACUCUACUGUUUCUUAAUUUAUUCGUUCUAUUAUUAUUUUAUUAUUCAAUAUUUGAUACGCACCAUUCGGUUGAAUUUCAUGGUUUACUUUCACCAAAAAAAUGUUUUUAAACUAUCGAAAGAACUACUGCAUAACACGUUGAUAUCACAAAAUUUGUUGAGAUUUUUCGAAAGGUUAGAACAAUGAAAAAAAUGAAUAGGAAAAUAAACGACCCACGUUCACAAUGAGAUGCAAGAAAACCAACCUUUAAAGUUUCAAACAUUCCAUUUAACAAAAUUUUACGACACACUAAAGACAUAUUAACAAACUUCCUAAAAUUUCUUCAAAUUAUUUAGUCAACUAAAUUUAGCCAACCAAAAGAAUUAGAUUUUUAACGCGAACGACCCAGUUCCAUUGCAAGGUGUGUGAACAACUAUACAACCAACAACAGAUUGAUAGAAAAAGAAAUAAAUAAAAACAAUGAUCGAACGAUAGUCCGAAAGAGACCGCAUUAAUCAGAGAAAUUCAAUAACGUAAUCAUUUACCGAUACGCGAACAGAAACCAUCGAACAAUGAGGCUGAGUGAAUUUUCGUAAUAAGAAAUCGAAUGGAGAGCGCUUUGUUCUCGGGGUGGCUUUUAUGCGCGUUUAAUGUUCCACUGUUGGAAUCGACGUAUUGCCAAGCUCGGUCUGCCCUGGUAGAAAGUGCAAAGAUACGUUGUGACGAUAGUGGCGGAAGAAAAGGAGAAGAAAAAAAAAGGUUGACCAGGAGAAUUUGUAGUUGGAAGAAUACAGCAGAUAUCUUCGGUAUAGAUCUGGCCGCGGGUGACAAUGGCGGCCACAGCUAUUGGCCCGUUUCACAAGCACGGUCCAUAUCAAUACCCCUUUGUUGCACAUGACUGAGUCUCGGAUAAAAUUCGCUUUCUCUCUCUCUCUCUCUCUUUCUGUUUUCUAUCUUCUACUUUCCUCGUGGAUGGCAGAAAGCCGAGAAAUAAUGCGCAAACUUUUACAGCGGAUGAAAUCCUUUGGAAAAAUAUUUCUUACGCUUCUAUGGAACACUUGGAGCGUGCCGAUGCGUUUUUGUUCCGAACGCUAUACUUUCGACCACUGUAGCGCGCAACCCUUGCUACCUUGGACAGAUUUUGUUCUACAGAGUAUCCCAGUAAUGAUGAUACAAUGGACAAGAGGGCGACCCUACGUGAGGAAGCAAGUGGAAAGUGCAGUAUAAACAGUUUUUCUCAUGGCGUUAUGUUACUGAGAAAAUGGAGUUUAAACGAAUUUGUUUAGUAUGUGGUGUAAACAUAAAAUGUGCAAAUAGCUAUGAGGAAAUUUAUAUUUUCUUUUUAUGAAUAUAUUUAUACUUGUAAAAAGAAAUUUCAUAUGUUCUUGUGUUGAAUGAUUCGUAGUUUAAAUAAUUCCAUAUGUCCAAAUAUAAAAGUCAUUGACCACUUAGUUUAAAUAGACACUUUCUUUUUAUAAACGAUGUUAUAGUUCUAAAUGCAAAUUUCGCAUAUUUCUAUUUUUAAUGAUCGCUAGUUUAGGUAGCAUCAUGUAUUCGAAUAUAAAAGACGCUGAUUAAUUUCAAUUAGCAAUCGUAUACUGCGUACAACAUUUCUUGGGUGAAAAUUUAUGAUCUCUUUCUUGAUGAAUAAAUGUAUAUUUCAUACGCAUAUUAUCGAAUAAUUUCGUUAAUUUACACAUAAAACACA